GAAAAGUCCAAAGGAAAAGAAGACCCCGGAAAGGAAGAUAAAGAAUCGAAGGAUCGGAGAGGAAAGAAAGACGAAGGACGUGUAGAAAGGAAUUUAGGAGAAAGGAAAGAAAUGAGACGGACCUCGUCAUCACGGCAUCGUUUAAACUUCUCAUUCAGACAGCAGGUCAAAGCGAGGGUGACGGUCAAAGUGCAUGCUGUCAGUCUCGUCAGAGUGGCAGCGGGAGUCGCAUGACUCGCACAGUUGAAGAGGACUCUUAUUAUUCAGAUCCUGGCAGUCGGGAUGAUGGCACACCUGAACACAAACACAUAAAGGAAUUAUAUUUAAAGACUCUAGAGGAGAGGUCAGUAGAAUCUGCAGUGGGGGAAGGGGGGGGGGGUGAGAAAAAGUAUCUGAAGUAUGACAGUUUCAGCUACGAGAUGCUCUGAUCAUGUGAUGUUCUGUCCUCACGUCCCAUGUAAAGGGUAUCACUCGAGUCUAGCUAUGUUUAUCUACGAGGCGACUGCUAGCAGAAGAGUUAGAGGACAGCUUUGUGCUGAGCUACAGCAUUAAGGAGUGCACCGUGAAGCAAAAAGUAAA